rnacentral:rRNA from 1 species
UACGGAGGGUGCAAGCAUUAAUCGGAUUUAUUGGGCGUAAAGGGCGCGUAGGCGGUAAUGUAAGUCGUAUGUGAAAUCCCGGGGCUCAACCUCGGAACAGCAUAUGAAACUGCAUAACUAGAGGGUAGGCGGAGAAAAUGGAAUUCCACAAGUAGCGGUGAAAUGCGUAGAUAUGUGGAAGAACACCGGUGGCGAAGGCGGUUUUCUAGCUUACACCUGACGCUGAGGCGCGAAAGCAAGGGGAUCAAACAGG